rnacentral:misc_RNA from 1 species
GUAGGUGAACCUGCGGAAGGAUCAUUAACAAAUGUUUUCCAACCUCAACGUAUGUGAACUGUUAUCAAUGUCAUGGCGAGAUGCCCCUAGUGUUGCCCUCGGGCGGCCUGGUCGCGCUCGCCGUGUUUUGUCUACGUAUAUCUAUUCUUAGCUCUGAGACUUUAAUUUUAAAUUAAAGACAACUUUUAGCAACGGAUCUCUUGGCUCUC